GGUCUGGGCUCAGCCGACGGGCAAGGGUGGCCUGGUGGAGCGGCCGGGGCAGCGAUGUCGCGCGGCGCCUCCCCUAUUCCGGCGGUGCUCGCACGGAGCCCUGCGGAGGGGAGGGUGAGCGAGGAGGGGGAGAGGUGGAGCGAGCGAGGCGGACGGAGUGGAGCGGCUCACGUCAGUCCCGGAGCGGCGGCAUCCUCGGCGGCGGUAGCAGGAGGCGUGCGGAGCUCUGGGACGAGUCUUCUGCGCAGCGGCAUGCGAUGAAGGAGAUGCGGGUCCUUGCGCUCGACCCCUCGGGAGGUAGCGGCCCAGCGGAAGUUGAAGGAGGGGCUGUGGCUGCUUGAGGCAGCGGGGCUAAGCGGCGGGAGGACGCGAGGAUUCGGGUAGCGGCCGGUGGCACACGGAGUGAUGGAGCUCUGACGGCCGCUGGGGGUCAAGCUGAUGCCUCAACUACUGGGGAGGAACGGUCUCGUUGGUCUACGACCUCAGGUCCUCGGUCUGCGGUGGAAGCUGCUGCUGAGGAUGAUGCGACCUCCACGGAUGAUGAUGCACGUCGGGCGACUACUGCUGGUACUCAUCAAUCCUCCUAGGGUCCGUCCUCCGGACGCGGAGAAAGCUAGACAUAGGGUCAAACACGAUCGGAAGAAUUCCUUUUGAACAAAUUGAAUACAGACAUGAGUCUAUAACAACGAAGGCGACUGAGCAGAUACUAGCUCGUAAACAUAAGCUCGGGAGCUCCGGGGACCGAACAUAAUACUACGAACAUACUGAAUAAAUACAAAAUCGCAACACAACACUAUAGAAGGGCAC
rnacentral:rRNA from 1 species